AUUGGCAGUGAUACAAAAUUUCCAGGCUUCUUGUUGCUGCAGAAUUCUCUGCUGCACACUUGUUCCAUAUAAAUCCCAAAAUUUCAGAGAUUCCAAAUUCAUAUUCAGCAAGAAAUUAAAGGCUUACAGCACAGAUUUAUAUAAAUCUGUCUAUUCCUUUUAUAUAAGACAUAGAAACACAAGGACACCAUUUGUAACUGAAAUUCAAGAGCUUCAAUUGAGUUCAUAAUUAUUUUGAAGUUCUUCCACAGAUUUUUGAUACUAUCCUGAUACAAAUUCACAUUUCAUCCUUUACUAUUCCAGCUCCCUUGUUUCUGCCUUCAGAAUUGAAUUCUGUUACUUGCUUACUGCUUUUUCCUUCUGCAAGCAAAUUCAUAAAAUGUUUCUGUUUCUGUAAUUGGAAUCCAGACCCUAACAUCUGCUGCUACAGAUUUUGUAUUCCCUGUAGUUUCAGUAUCACAGCUCCUUUUAAGAAUCCCUACACUAUUUCAUAAUCAUUCUUCUUACUUUUGUCAGUAAUUAAAUGCUUCACUUCAGUUCUUCAAUAAUCAAAGGCUACACAAAAUGAAUCCUUAUUCAAGCUGUUCUCAUUUGGAUUCAGAAUUGCAGAAUUCAGCAAGUCAAAUCUUCAGCAGCAACAAAUUACAGCUUCUUAAGCUCUGUUCCAGAAACAGAAUAUGAUUCAUAUCUAAAAUUUUCCACAGUUGGAUUGAUGUAGAAGUUAGUGAACUCCUCAAUUCAGCUUCCUCAAAAUCAGAAAUUUACAGAUCAGAUUUCUAACUCAGAGGGUAAACAAUCAGCAACCCAAAUGGGAGCAUCACAACAAUGUUCCUGGCAAUUACACCCACUAACUGAGUGAAAUAGACACUAGUAGAUAAUCACGGAUUGCUAAGAGCUUUCCAAGCAAAUCAGUACUAAAUUGGAUACACAGAUUUUCUUCUCAGAAAUCAGAUCUGUCCAUGGUUGUUACCACCAUCUAAGUUACUCCUUUCCCUGAUAUCAUUUCUGAACUUUUGAUACUACACUCAUUAAAAAUUAUCUAAAUUUUUGCACCUCACAGAAUACUGCAUUACAGAUUUGUACACCCAUUUGUUUUCUGAAAUCAGCUUCUGGAAAUUUUCCAGGUCUUCAUCACAAGGAAUUUCGGAAGAAAAGAAUACCAAAUGACAUUGAAAUGUCCAAUGCUUAAAUCACAUGUUUCACUGUAUUGAAAUUCCCGAAUUCAGGAACAGAUUCAAAAAGAAUUGACACUGAUUUCAUGAAUUCUGAUUAAAUGCUUCAGUUUAAGAACUUGGAACUUGGCAACAAAUUUCCAAAUUCAAUGUAUCAAGUUAAAACGUGCCAUUUCAGAUCUCAACUUAAUGAAUUUGCAGAAAUUACAAAGUAUAAGAUAGACAUGCAGCUCUCAGUGAGGUUUCCAAAUUUGAUAGUCUUCAUUAUCUUCCAUUCCUGCACAGCAGACUACUGAUUUCAACUUUGUAUCAAUCUGUCACGUUUAGUUACACAAAACUUCAAUACUUCUUUCAUUUUGUCUCUUAAGACUCUUCACAAUGCAUAACCUAAAACUUCCAAGUUUCUACAGUUUCUGCUCAUUACAAUUUCCUUCUCAAAUUGGCACAAAAAAUGUCAGCAUAAUUUCUGCAGAAUCUGCAUUUUCCAGAAUUCCAGAACAGUUGCAGAAUUCAGGAUUCCUGAUUCAGCAGCAGAUUUCAGAGAUCAACUUUUAUGAAUUUAGUAUCAGAAUUUAGAUUCUUGAAUUUGAUUCGUUUUGCAGCACCAGUAACUUGGUAGUGGAAGAUUCUUUUGGAUUUAAUUUCUGAUUAGCAACCUGCAAACAACUUGAUAUGCCACAAUUUCUUCAAGUGAUUUCCUUUUAAUGAAUUUUCCUGCAUUUCAGUUC